CACACGCGCACACCACACCACACACACACAUACAUAUCACACACACGCACACACACACGCACACACGCACACCACACACACACACACCACAAACCACCACCUCUGUACCUGUGGCAUGAUGGCAAUAGAGGUAGGCCCCCAGAAUGAAAUAGAACAAUUGAAUUAAAGGAUCUUUAUGGGUAGGCUGUGUCCUAGUUGACGUUGUCUUUAGAGACCUUAUGUAACACAUAGUUAGCUACUAGUGUAAUCUCUCUGGGAAGAAUGAGCAGCUAAAUAUAGCUGGCCCAUAAAGUCCUCCUGAAGAUGCUGGGUGACUGAGUCAUUACCACCCCGGCUCUGCUGGUUGCUCUCUGGUGGCUCUGAGGUGAAGUUUCCCCUAGGUACAGAUCUAGGAUCAGCUUCCCCUCCCCCAAUCCUAACCUAAACCAAUAGUGGGGGAAAUGCAAAACUAACUCAAGAUCAGCAUCUAAGGGGCACCUUCAGGGCCAGACUUGGACCAGGCAGGGCCAUAGGAAAGGAAUGUCUCAGGACAGAAUGCUGAUGGUAGGAGUGCUACCUAGUGUUUAAUGUUAGUGGUAGCUGGUAGGGAGAGGGGCUCUUUGGAUGAAAGGGGCAAAAAAUGUUUACCAAUGAAGCAUAACAGUUCCAAGGCACUCCCUAAAAAUGCUGUAUUGUGUUGGCCUAACUUAAUAGGAAGGGUUAGGCUGAAAGCACAGGUAUUGGACUGUGUGUUCUAAGGCCCUCAGUCAGUCAUGUUCUCUGAGUACAAGGAAACAGUCCUCUGAUCAGUAUCAGACCAACCAGGAAGUGUUUCUCUUGCACCAGGUUACAUGUUGCUGUGUCUGUCUGCUACACUCACACGUCCCCUGAUCACACUGCUCUAAGGGCAACACUUUGUUAUGCUUUCAUCGUCUGACCGACCUGGCACCCUAUUCCCUAUAUCAGUAAGUAGCCUUGUCCACGUUAAAACAGCCCAUAGCGCAGGAGCCGUUCGCCUGCUUCGUUAGGCAGCUUGAUGUACUGUAGGUAGCCAGGUAGCCUAGUGGUUAGAGUGGCUAACCAGCAGGUAGCCUAGUGGCUUUCGGUUACUAGUUGGGCCAGUAACCGAAAGGUUGCUAGAUCGAAUCCCCGAACUGACAAGGUACUAAUCUGUCGUUCUGCCUCUGAACAAGGCAGUUAAUCCACUGUUCCUAGUCAUUGUAAAUAAGAACCAAUUCCUAACUGUCUUGCCUUCUUAAACAAAGGUUCAAUAAAACAAUACCCCUGGGCAGGAUGCUAUUCUAUGUUCCCUGGUCAAAGUAGUUCACUAUUGUAAUAAGGUGUAUUUUCAGAGACAGCCAUUGACUCCAACUCUCCAUUCUCAGACCCGGUGAAAAGUUGUUUCUCUUGUUGCCAGUUUCAUUUGUCGUGAAGGAACCAGUUCUGUUGUUUUGGCUGUGUCGUGGAGAUGUUGCCAGUUGAAGUCAUGAGUUAAUGUUAAUAAUUAGUCUACCCUUGGCACCCGAUUCUAUUCUCGCUGGGUGAAGCAGCGAGCUGCUCCUUAGGUAACAUGCCUACUCAGACUUUGUGGUCCAGUCAUAUAGCUUAGGGCCGUCGGUCUCUUAGUCAGAUAUCAAUGUUUACUACUGACUGACAGCCUACUCUCCAGUCCUGUGUGAUUGAUCUUAGACCUAAAUGUCUAUGGAUUGUUGAUGGAUCGUUGAUGUCACCCCUUGGGUUACUAAAAUAACUAAGUUCCAGGAAGACUUCACACAGUGAGUGUGCCGUCAGUACCAGCUGAUCUUGGGGCAGGGUAGCCUAGUGGUUAGAGCGUUGGACUAGUAACCGAAAGGUUGCAAGUUCGAAUAAAAGUAAAAUUAAAAAAUAAGUCCUUGUAUGUCGAUUUAUCCCUGAUUGACCCACAUUCACUGAGUCCUGAACAUAACCUAAUACGGGUUCACUUUAACUGCUCUUAUUUUGGCACAAAAGUGAGAGGUCUAUCACUCCUGAGUCUGUCUGGUGUGUUGCGAGGUGAUCCUUUCCAGUCAGGUCCUAUCCUCUCCUGUCAGGUCCUCUCCUCUCCUGUCAGGUCCUCUCCUCUCCUGUCAGGUCCUCUCCUCUCCUGUCAGGUCCUGUCCUCUCCUCUCCUGUCAGGUCCUGUCCUCUCCUCUCCUGUCAGGUCCUCUCCUCUCCUGUCAGGUCCUCUCCUCUCCUGUCCUCUUCUCCAGUCAGGUCAGGUCCUCUCCUCUCCUGUCCUCUUCUCCAGUCAGGUCCUGUCCUCUUCUCCAGUCAGGUCCUGUCCUCUCCUCUCCUGUCAGGUCCUGUCCUCUCCUCUCCUGUCAGGUCCUGUCCUCUCCUCUCCUGUCAGGUCCUGUCCUCUCCUCUCCUG
ensembl:lncRNA